rnacentral:rRNA from 1 species
CCUACGGGAGGCAGCAGUGAGGAAUAUUGGUCAAUGGGCUUACGCCUGAACCAGCCAAGUCGCGUGAGGGAAGACUGCCCUAUGGGUUGUAAACCUCUUUUGUCAGGGAGCAACGCCGGCUACGUGUAGCCGGACUGAGAGUACCUGAAGAAAAAGCAUCGGCUAACUACGUGCCAGCAGCCGCGGUAAUACGUAGGGGGCAAGCGUUAUCCGGAUUUACUGGGUGUAAAGGGAGCGUAGACGGCAAUGCAAGUCGGAAGUGAAAUACCCGGGCACAACCUGGGAAUUGCUUUGGAAACUGUAUGGCUGGAGUGCUGGAGAGGUAAGCGGAAUUCCUAGUGUAGCGGUGAAAUGCGUAGAUAUUAGGAGGAACACCAGUGGCGAAGGCGGCUUACUGGACAGUAACUGACGUUGAGGCUCGAAAGCGUGGGGAGCAAACAGGAUUAGAUACCCUGGUAGUC